GCCCCAGGCUGGAGUGCAAUGGUGCGAUCUCGGCUCACUGCAACCUCUGUCUACCAGGUUCAAUUGAUUCUCCUGCCUCAACCUCCUGAGUAGCUGGGAUUACAGGCAUCUGCCACCACGCCCAGCUAAUUUUUGUAUUUUUAGUAGAGACGGGGUUUCACCAUAUUGGCCAGGAUGGUCUUGAACUCCUGACCUCAUGAGCCACCCACCUCGGCCUCCCAAAGUGUUGGGAUUACAGGCGUGAGCCACCACACCCGGUCCAAGCCAUCUUCUUUUACCAUAAACUACAAUAAAGGCCUCUGAAGUUUUCCGCAGGGGAGCUUUCUCCGAGUUGGCAUGUCCUUGGCCAGAAUCCGCCGCUCCGCCGUUCUUCUCACCUAUGACCAUAUAAUGAAGGGGCUCUUAUCCCAUUUGAAGCUGAGGAAAUAAAGGUUUGGAAUGAGUGGGUAAGUUACCCCAAACAACCCAGCUUACAUAUAUAAGGGCUCACAGAUACAAGGAUUUGAAAAGGUUUUGACUCCAAAACCUUUUGCUCAUAGCAUCUGGGCUUUUUAUUUUCCCCCAGUUUUAUUACACUUCUAUCACUAGCUCAGUUGAGUGAUAGGAGAGAAGUCCUGUGAAAUAUAUCCUACAUUUUGUGCAUUUUUGGAAGAUAAAUCCUAAGUUGAGUCUUCAGAGAUGUGUGUCUAUUACAUCUUGAGGAAACUUGUGACAUAUUGUAAAAUAGAAUAUUCUAUUUAACAGUCUCUGAUGUUGCAGCCUAAAUUUCAACUUAUUUAAACACUUGUUAUUUUAUAUAAUGAAGUGCCCUCCUCAACAGCUUUACAAUUUUUGACAGGUAUUGAAAGCAUUUUAAUAUUUAAUGUGUAUUAGUCUUUCCUUAUCAUUGUUUAACUAAAUGAUAAUAACUUAGAAAGGAUACAAUAUGCCUAUCAUGUAGGCAUUAAAAUUCUAGAGUUUUAAAAAUGUAAGGCACCUGAGUAAUUACAUGUUCUUUCUCACUUCCAUAUGGGGCACAAACUAACCAGAUAAAUAUUUUCUUCAUUCCAAAAACACAUCAGAAAAUGAAAUUUAAAAUAUGCUUCCAAUAAUACAUUUCUUUUUUAAAUUUUAUUAUUAUUAUACUUUAAGUUUUAGGGUACAUGUGCACAAUGUGCAGGCUAGUUACAUAUGACUCCAAUAAUACAUUUCAUGCUCUUGUGUGGUCUAACUUAAGAACCAUUUGCAGUUUCUAAUUGCAUCAAAAUUUUUAACAUACUUCUGGAAAACCAGUCAGUGAUAUCCUGUUAAUUUCUGUCACGGCAUCUUUCCAUUAAACAAUUGUGUCACCAAGAUAAAAAACAAUUUAAAAGAUUUCAGAACCCUCAUCCAAAAGUGCUAAGUAUUAUUUGAAAUAAUAUUGUUCAUUUUUGUAAAGUAAUGAUUUCCUAACAAUGCAUAAAGAUAUAAAAUUUUCCAAUCUAAAAUGCUUCAUGCAUUGUUAUUCUCUCAAUUUGAUUUUACAAGCUUGGAAUUUUAAAAAAUUCAGUCAAUCACUGCUAUGGUUGAAUAUGUGUGUCCCCUCCACCCCACUCCAAAUUCAUAUACUGAAACCUAAUCUCCAAUGCAAUAGUAUUAAAUAGAGUCUUUAGGAGGUGAUUAGCUUAUGAGGGCAGAACCCUCAUGAAUAGGAUUAGUGCCCUUAUAAAAGAGCCCAGGGGAUCUUGUUUGGCCCUUUCAUCAUGUGGGAGAAAAUGGAGACGGUGCCAUCUCUGAAGCAAAGAGCAAGCCUUUGUCUAAUUAACUCUGCCGGCACCUUAAUCUCAGACUUCCCAGGCCUCCAAACUGUAAAAAAUAUAUUUCUGUUGUUUAUAAAUUACCCAGUCUAAGGUAUUUUGUUAUAGCCCAUCUGAAAGGACUAGGACAGUCACCAUAUAAACAUAUAAGUGGUAUCUCUAAAUAGAACUGUGAUAGGAAUACAAGCAUCUGGGUUAGUAAAGAAUUUGAGCAAACUGGAAAACCAGUCUUACCUGAAAUGUGUUAAAUGUCUCUGGAUGUCAAGGUCUAGAAUUGGAGUGGGUCUGGAGGAUCCCAGUGGUGAUCUAUCUUGGCUCAAGAGGUCUUGGAAUUCUUUACAGAUUUGUCUAAAAUAAAAGAAUCAAAUUUAAAAUUGAAAUUUUCAAAUUGAGCUUUAAUUUCAUCCCAUGAUAUUUAACCAAAGGCUUGUUCUCUCUUUUAAAAGAAGUCUAGAUAACAUUUCAUAAAGCAACCUCAAAAGUUCCAUUCAUAGCAUACAGUUGAGUUUCAUAAUGGUGACUUUGCUCUCAACGGCUAUAGGAUAAUCAUACAACAUUUCAAACAAAUAACAAUCCAUGAGCACUGAUAAGACCAAUGUUUAUUUUUAAGAUGACUAUUCAUAAAUUAACCUCAGGAUAAGGGGAACCCCAUAUGAAAUGAUCACUAUGAUCUUUUUAAUUGAAAUGUGAUUUUUUAAGACAUAAUAUCUGUAAACAAAUUUAAUUAAAGUUACAGUCUUACUUCAGAGCCAUUAUUCAAACAGACUUUGGAAAAUCCUUUUUUCCCAAUAUUGCAUUAGAGUUCAUAUUCUUAUGAGCUAACUUUAUAUGCUAAUAUUUGAAGCAGAUAAUCACCAGUAAUUUAGUUCACUAGCCUCACAAAAAAUGGUUAUAUUAUGUUCCAUGUAAGCCAAUUUCUUGCAAAAAUUACCCUCAAGGUAACUUUUCUGCUGCAUUUCUUUGCUUUAAAUGGUUAUGGUUUUUGGUCAUUGGUUUCAGUUUAAUUACAGUGUUACAAUGUAACAGUAAAGACUUUGUGAUGUACACUCCAAAUGAUAUAAUUCUAAAGAAGCAGAAUACACUAUACAAAGAGAUAUUGUUUUUGUUUUUGUAUUUUAACAACAAAACACUAAAUUAGUCCAGUCUCUGAAAAGUAAAGGAUUGCCAAAGAAUUGCUUAAAAACAUCCAUCAUCUAAAGUGAGGUGACUCCAUAAAUCAAGGGAUAAUAUGACAGUAAUUAGGUUUUUUGUCUGUUUUUACAAUGGGCAGUCGCAAAAAUGUAAUAAUGUAGCCCUGACUUUGAUUAUCAAUGUAAACAAAGACAGGUAUAGAAGUGUCAAAUUAUUUCAAGUGAAUAUGAACCCGGCCAUUAUUCUGCUGCAAGGCAUUUGUGUCAUCAACAAAUGACUACCAAAAAGUGACAAAAUAUCUUGAAGUACAAAUAAUUGAUCACUGAGUUAAAAAUCAGUGGGGACUUCUUAAUCAGGUAUCUAAAAUUUAUUGAAUUCCAUCAAAGAUCACUUAUGAUAUUUUAAAUGAACAAUGAGGGUCUGGUUUAAUGCCAGUGUUCAAAUAUUGUGUCAUUUCACAGAAAUUGCCUUAUUCAUGUUUGCAGAACACAGGUGAAAGUAAAAAGGAGUCAGAGAUAGGAAAAACAAAGUCCUUAUCUGCUUCAGUGAAAUAAGAUACUUCACAUCCCCUUCCUAAAGGGCCAGUUGGAUCUCUGAGAUACAGCAUCUGAAUACAUGCUUUUAACAACUGUGUGUUUCUACUUUCAUUCAGACAGUUUCUUCUGAACUCCUCACAUUUUCUGUUGUGAGACUCAGUUGCUUUAUGAAAUAUACCUGUUUUCAGGUGUAUUGCCCAUAUUUUAAUCAAUGAAUGCAACUUAAUCUAAGUGUUUGGUGCCAUUUUGAGGAGUAUAUCAUAAUCUUUUGUGCUUUGUGUUAUUUAAUAUAGAUUUGUUGUCUUUGUUUAUGGAAAUUUCUAACUAAAAUUUUAAAUUUAGCCUCAUGCUAUCAUUUCCAAAUUACUGUAUGGUAGGUCAUCAUUACGAUCCAUUCUUACAAAGAAAGAUUGGUGUUGUUUUUAGACUUUUGUUUUUAGCAGUCUUUUAGUUUUUCUAUCAGAUUAAAAUAAAUUUUAAAACAUUAAAAUAAAGAUUGAAACAUUAGUUAUUGUGGCAUAAUAUCAGAAUUAAUUGGAUAAUGGAAUAAACUUUUAAGUUGACAAAUCAACUUUGUUCCUGUAUGAAUAAUACAGCAAGUUAUAAUAAAAUUGACGAAGAAAUUAGAGAAAGCUAAAGAGGUGGAAAAAUUUAACUCAUGCUAAAUAAUUCACACAGGAGGAUCUACCAGGAGUAAUAUUAUAUUAUAUUAUAUCUCCCCCUUUUAUAUUUAAUUCUACAGCUUAACUCACUCACUUUCAAGCUUAGACUUGAAAACAGAUGACAAUCCUGUAGAUUCCCUGUAGGCAAUUAUCAUCAUCAUCUCAUUAUGGCACUUACAGAAUUAUGAUUUUAUGACUACUUUCCUUCUUAUUUAAUUUUUUAUUUAUAAAUCUACAAAAAGAAACAAUCUUACAUCUCAAGGCAAAAUGUCAUAUUAUGAAUUAUGUAACACAAGAUGAUCUUCAGUGAAUCAUACAUUCUAACUUUAUCACUUACAUCAUUGUCCUUAAGGACGUAAGUUUUUAGCUGAUGUCUGAAAUCCAAAUUCUAUGUUUCACCCUUAGAUGAUUAACAGUAUGGUAACACUAAAAGUUGUUAACUAUUCUGCUUUACCUUAAUGCAGAUCAAAUGUUAGACAUAUUUAGUUCUAAAUUCAAUCAAAAGGUUUAAAUAUGUUUUCUAUUAACCAAAUAAACACGUUUUGUCUGAUUCAUUUUUAGAAUUCAAAAAAUGUUUCAGUUUCUAUUCUUUCGCCUAAAUAAAUGUCUAAAUUACACAAAAUAUUUAAUCAACAAAACACUGGAAAUAAGGUGGCAUGAGAAGACUAAUGACACUUAAUUAAUAGGCCCUUUAUACAAUUGUAUACUUGGCAAUAUACUUAAAGACAACUGAAUCUGUAAUCCAUGGAGGUAAAAAAGAAAUAUGUAGGCCAAUCUGACAAUGUAGAUUAGCAAUUGGAUCUCUCAUUCAAUAAAUUUUAGAUUUCAUAUAUAUUUUUUAUAAUGUUGUCCAAGUCUUAUGAAUAAAGGUGAACUGACCAGGAUGUAAUGAAUAUCCAUAUAGGCUACUUAAUAUUAACUUUUACCAUUUUAAUUGAUGAAAAUACCUCAUGCUUUACCAUUGGUGUAAAAUUAGAAACUUCUCAGAACACAUGUUGGGUCCAUUCAUAU
rnacentral:lncRNA from 10 species